UACAGAGGGUGCAAGCGUUGUUCGGAAUUACUGGGCGUAAAGCGCGUGUAGGUGGCGAUGUAAGUCGGGCGUGAAAUCCCUAGGCUCAACCUAGGAACUGCACUCGAAACUGUUUAUCUUGAGUGCCGGAGAGGAAAGCGGAAUUCCUGGUGUAGAGGUGAAAUUCGUAGAUAUCAGGAGGAACACCAGUGGCGAAGGCGGCUCUCUGGGACGUGACGUGACGCUGAGACGCGAAAGCGUGGGGAGCAAACAGG
rnacentral:rRNA from 1 species